UACGAAGGGGGCUAGCGUUGCUCGGAAUCACUGGGCGUAAAGGGUGCGUAGGCGGGUCUUUAAGUCAGGGGUGAAAUCCUGGAGCUCAACUCCAGAACUGCCUUUGAUACUGAAGAUCUUGAGUUCGGGAGAGGUGAGUGGGACUGCGAGUGUAGAGGUGAAAUUCGUAGAUAUUCGCAAGAACACCAGUGGCGAAGGCGGCUCACUGGCCCGGUACUGACGCUGAGGUGCGAAAGCGUGGGGAGCAAACAGG
rnacentral:rRNA from 1 species